CCUACGGGAGGCAGCAGUGGGGGAUAUUGCACAAUGGGGGGAACCCUGAUGCAGCGACGCCGCGUGGGUGAAGGAGCGUUUCGGCGCGUAAAGCCCUAUCGGCCGGGAAGAAGGAGGACGGUACCUGACUAAGAAGCCCCGGCUAACUACGUGCCAGCAGCCGCGGUAAUACGUAGGGGGCAAGCGUUAUCCGGAUUUACGGGGUGUAACGGGGGCGCAGACGGAAGCGCAAGCGAGGAGUGAAAGCCCGGGGCCCAACCCCGGGACUGCUCUUGGCACUGCGCGGUUGGAGUGCAGGUGGGGCAGGAGGAAUGCGUGGUGUAGCGGUGAAAUGCGUAGAUAUCA
rnacentral:rRNA from 1 species